UACGGAGGGGGCUAGCGUUGUUCGGAAUUACUGGGCGUAAAGCGCGUGUAGGCGGGUCCUUAAGUCGGGGGUGAAAGCCCGGGGCUCAACCUCGGAACUGCCUUCGAUACUGAGGACCUGGAGUCUGGGAGAGGUGAGCGGAAUUCCGAGUGUAGAGGUGAAAUUCGUAGAUAUUCGGAGGAACACCAGAGGCGAAGGCGGCUCACUGGACCAGUACUGACGCUGAGACGCGAAAGCGUGGGGAGCAAACAGG
rnacentral:rRNA from 1 species